CCAGUUCGGAUUGUAGUCUGCAACCCGACUACAUGAAGCUGGAAUCGCUAGUAAUCGCGAAUCAGAAUGUCGCGGUGAAUACGUUCCCGGGUCUUGUACACACCGCCCGUCACACCAUGAGAGGUCGGGGACACCCGAAGUCCGUAGUCUAACCGCGAAGGGGGACGCGGCCGAAGGUGGAUUCGAUAAUUGGGGUGAAGUCGUAACAAGGUAGC
rnacentral:rRNA from 1 species